UAUGUAUUUAUUAUUAUAACAGAGGACAAAUGCAAAAUAUUGAACAUAUGAAAAAAAUACUAAAGUCCCUUUAUGGACUACCAGAAUCAAAUGAAAUGAUGAUUAGGUGUAAACAAUAAAAAAAAUAAAAAUACUCUUCCCU